CGUGUGCAGCGGUGCCCUUCCAUCCUUCUGUUAACGUUUCUGAUAUUCAUUUAUUGGUCUCGGGCUCAGAUAUUUUACCUUGAGAAAAUUAGAGUGUUCCAGGCAGGCUUGCGCCGGAAUACAUUAGCACGGAAUAAUAGAAUAGGACUUUGGUUCUAUUUUGUUGGUUUCUAGGACCGAAGUAAUGAUUAAUAGGGAUAGUUGGGGGCAUUAGUAUUUAAUUGUCAGAGGUGAAAUUCUUGGAUUUAUGAAAGACUAACUUCUGCGAAAGCAUUUGCCAAGGAUGUUUUCAUUAAUCAAGAACGAAAGUUAGGGGAUCGAAGAUGAUCAGAUACCGUCGUAGUCUUAACCAUAAACUAUGCCGACUAGGGAUCAGACGAUGUUAUUUUCUUGACUCGUUUGGCACCUUAUGAGAAAUCAAAGUUUUUGGGUUCCGGGGGGAGUAUGGUCGCAAGGCUGAAACUUAAAGGAAUUGACGGAAGGGCACCACCAGGAGUGGAGCCUGCGGCUUAAUUUGACUCAACACGGGGAAACUCACCAGGUCCAGACAUAGUAAGGAUUGACAGAUUGAGAGCUCUUUCUUGAUUCUAUGGGUGGUGGUGCAUGGCCGUUCUUAGUUGGUGGAGUGAUUUGUCUGGUUAAUUCCGUUAACGAACGAGACCUUAUUCUGCUAAAUAGUUACGUUAACUUUGGUUAAUGGUCAACUUCUUAGAGAGACUAUGAA
rnacentral:rRNA from 1 species